rnacentral:rRNA from 1 species
UACGGAGGGGGCUAGCGUUGUUCGGAAUUACUGGGCGUAAAGGGCUCGUAGGCGGCCAACUAAGUCAGACGUGAAAUCCCCCGGCUUAACCUGGGAACUGCGUCUGAUACUGGAAGGCUUGAGUAUGGGAGAGGGAUGUAGAAUUCCAGGUGUAGCGGUGAAAUGCGUAGAUAUCUGGAGGAAUACCGGUGGCGAAGGCGGCAUCCUGGACCAUUACUGACGCUGAGGCGCGAAAAGCUAGGGGAGCAAACGGGG